CCAGAAGAGAGAUGUGUAUCCCCGUGGUUCUGAAGUUAAAGUCAGUCAUGAACUUCCCUAUAUGAGUACAGAGAACUGAACCCAGGUCCUCUGCAAGAGCACUAAGCCCACUUAGUGGCUGAGCUAUGUUUCCAGUACAAAAGAAGUUUGAUCUUUCACAUCAAAUGAAUAUUGCUUUUUAUGCUCUGUGUGCAGAGAAAGUUUCUCUUAUACAAUGGAUAACUUUAUCUCAAGAUUAUCGUCAUGAGCUCUCCACUAAUAUCUUAGAAAACCCCAAC
rnacentral:lncRNA from 1 species